rnacentral:rRNA from 1 species
GACGGAGGAUGCAAGUGUUAUCCGGAAUCACUGGGCGUAAAGCGUCUGUAGGUGGUCAAAUAAGUCAACUGUUAAAUCUUGAGGCUCAACCUCAAAAUCGCAGUCGAAACUAUUCGACUAGAGUAUAGUAGGGGUAAAGGGAAUUUCCAGUGGAGCGGUGAAAUGCGUAGAGAUCGGCAGGAACACCCAGGGGGAAACCAGUCGACUGGGCAUCUACUGACGCUGAGGUGCGAGAGCGUGGGGAGCGAACCGG